CAGGCCUAACACAUGCAAGUCGAACGGCAGCGCGGGUGCUUGCACCUGGCGGCGAGUGGCGGACGGGUGAGUAAUGCUUAGGGAUCUGCCCUAGAGUGGGGGACAACACGGGGAAACUCGUGCUAAUACCGCAUACGCUUUUGAAGUAAAGAUGGCCUCUGAAUAUGCUAUCGCUUUGGGAUGAACCUAAGUCGGAUUAGCUUGUUGGUGGGGUAAAGGCCUACCAAGGCGACGAUCCGUAGCUGGUCUGAGAGGAUGAUCAGCCACACUGGGACUGAGACACGGCCCAGACUCCUACGGGAGGCAGCAGUGGGGAAUAUUGGACAAUGGGGGCAACCCUGAUCCAGCGAUGCCGCGUGUGUGAAGAAGGCCUGCGGGUUGUAAAGCACUUUAGUUGGGGAGGAGAGGACUUGUGUGAAUAAUGCGAGUUUGAGACGUUACCCAAAGAAUAAGCACCGGCUAACUCUGUGCCAGCAGCCGCGGUAAUACAGAGGGUGCGAGCGUUAAUCGGAGUUACUGGGCGUAAAGGGCGCGUAGGCGGAUGAUUAAGUCAGUUGUGAAAUCCCAGGGCUCAACCUUGGAACUGCAAUUGAUACUGGUCAUCUGGAGUCGAAGAGAGGGAAGCGGAAUUUCCGGUGUAGCGGUGAAA
rnacentral:rRNA from 1 species